AAGAUUAAGCCAUGCAUGUCUAAGUAUAAACAUUUGUACUGUGAAACUGCGGACGGCUCAUUAAAUCAGUUAUAGUUUAUUUGAUAAUACCUUACUACUCGGAUAACCGUAGUAAUUCUAGAGCUAAUACGUGCUAAAAAACCCGACUUUACGGAAGGGUUGUAUUUAUUAGAUAAAAACCAAUGCGGUCUCGGCCGGUUAUUUGGUGAUUCAUAAUAACUUUGCGAAUCGUAU
rnacentral:rRNA from 1 species